rnacentral:rRNA from 1 species
CCAGACUCCUACGGGAGGCAGCAGUGGGGGAUAUUGCACAAUGGGGGAAACCCUGAUGCAGCGACGCCGCGUGGGCGAAGAAGUAUUUCGGUAUGUAAAGCCCUAUCAGCAGGGAAGAAGAAAUGACGGUACCUGAGUAAGAAGCACCGGCUAACUACGUGCCAGCAGCCGCGGUAAUACGUAGGGGGCAAGCGUUAUCCGGAUUUACUGGGUGUAAAGGGAGCGUAGACGGCAGCACAAGUCUGGAGUGAAAUGCCGGGGCCCAACCCCGGAACUGCUUUGGAAACUGUGCAGCUGGAGUGCAGGAGAGGUAAGUGGAAUUCCUAGUGUAGCGGUGAAAUGCGUAGAUAUUAGGAGGAACACCAGUGGCGAAGGCGGCUUACUGGACUGUAACUGACGUUGAGGCUCGAAAGCGUGGGGAGCAAACAGGAUUAGAUACCCGAGUA